UCAAGGUCAUCACCAUGGUGAUUGAUGGUCAAGUCGGACCGAGCGCAAUGUUGUUCCUCUAUUGAGGUUUUUCGAAUAUUGCACUUGUCCCGGCCUGCUCAUCAACACCAAAAUCAUCGGCAGCAACG
rnacentral:precursor_RNA from 15 species